AGUACUCCGCGAUCGCCGCUAUGGAGGCCGGCAGGACUGCGGUGUUGCGCGUGAAGCGGAAGCGCAACGCGGAGCCCGCCGAGGCGCUCGUGCUGGCCUGUAAACGCCCCCGGAGCAGCGAGGUCGAGUCGGCGGCUCGGGAGACGCCAGAGGGCCAGGAGGCGGCGGCGGCGGAGAGAAAUGUCUUCCAGUUGGUUGCCACCGUGCGAUCCCAGGAGGAGCCAAUCCAGCAGCUUGUGCGGGCUGCCUUGCGCCCGUCCCGGAGCAGCCAGCUGCGUAUCCGCCGCGAUCUUCGUGCCUCGGUGCGCGAGGUCCGUAAAGAGGGCCGCUACAGGGUGGUCUCCAGCCACCGAUCCUCGGGAACCUCGAACAGUUUGGAGCCUCAGUGUGGGUCAGAAGCUGUCGGGGAUGCGGGCUUCCAGUUGUUGGACCUGGUCCACGAGGAGGAAAACCCAGAGGCUGCUGCCACCGACUGCCGCAAAACAUCUGAUCCAGAUGUGAUCCUCUGCAAUUCUGUAGAGUUGAUCCGUGAGAGGCUGACUGUAUCCGAGGAUGGAUCCCAAGUAAACCACCAGGAGGACCCAAAGCACAAUGACGACUAUGUAUAUGACAUUUACUAUAUGGAGAUGGCCCCUCCAGGGUGGAUUGAGAACAUCAUGUCCGUGCAGCCCUACAGCCAGGAAUGGGAGCUGAUGUUCAGGUAAAUGAUGAUGAGCAGUCAGAAGAUAUUUAUGAAGAUGAAGAUGAUGAAAACAGUGAAAAUAACUGGCGGAAUGAGUACCCGGAUGAAGAAAGCAGUGAUAGAGAUGAAGAUUCCAGAGGCUCUGAUGAAUACAACAGCCUCAGCGAGGAGGAAAGAAGCUGCGAGCGACUGAUGUGGAGCAAAUACCCUUUGGAUGUACAAAAGGAGUUUGACUAUGACAGCCCCCAUGGUCUGGAUUCAGAUUGAUGGUUUGCUGGUAUUUGUGAGAUUCUUCCAUGGGCCUUUAAGGCUCUGACUACAGAGUCAUCAUCUUAGGAUUCCUAACUGAACAUGUGGAAAGAAAAGCCUUUACCCCAGCACAGUGAGGACUUCCUUGUAAGUGAUAAGUGACGCCAAACACGCUGGGUCAUGUCUGUAAUUCCAGCAUUGGAGAGUUUGGGAGCCAAGAAGAGCACUGAGAAUACAAGGCCAGCCUUUAGACUAAACAGCCUGGGCAUUCUAUUUUUAAAAAGUGAUCUUACACUCUGGAAAAUAAAAUGAUGUAAAACCUCCAUCCCUGGUGGUUUUUCUGUCAUUUUACUUAUAUGCUCAGGGCUAAAGAAGCUGGUGGGAGGAGGGAGAGCCCGCUCCCAGUGAUGGAGAUGAUCUCUGCAAGGACAACAGUGACUCCCCCGCCUCAGGGCGGUCAUGUCUUUCCCCCCCCCCCCCCCCCGCCCCCUUUAGACUCUGAUAAUGGUUAUAAAGACUGCUAUCACCUUUGGCAGUGGUACCAAGGAACAGUAUGUAUGAAUGUGAUGAUCUUUAAUAAAAACUUAACUUUUUACACAGAA